CAUUUGUACAUGUAUACAGUGUUAAAAGAGGUGUAACUCAACUUUUCUACUGAAAUAACAGGAAUUCAAGUACAUUCUAUUUUUAUCUUGCCCCCAGGCAACAAAUAUGCUAAUGUUCGGUUGAAUCUUCGAGGGACGAACGCUGCACUUAUCGUUCGGAAAAUAAUCGGCGAUUCCUCGAACGAAGUCUUAUUGGCUGUUAAAAGAGACGUGACCGAUUAAAACAACAAACUCGAAAAUACAAUAACUUGACUGUCUGGCAACAUAUAAAAAUGAACUUCAAGUCAAUAAAUUUCACAUAAUACAAUUUUCUAUUUGAAGUGUUCUUGGAUGUAAAAGGUUCGCUUAUUUUCAAAGGAACGAGGACUGAACGCCACCAAAGUUGCAGAUAAAAGAUGUCACCCAACAGCAGCACAGACAAGUUGCACUGACUGCUUCCUUUUUCCAUAUGGUGUAUCUUUUAGGGAUAAAUACUGAACUAUCUUUCUAUCCUUAUAUUGUGAGUAACCUUAGCUUUUAAAAGCGACAGGUAAAGAGAAACAAACUUGACCUUUAAUUUAUAUAUAAAUAAUUAUUAUCAUGACCUAUUAAUAUACAAUUUAUAAUGCUUAAAAAAUAAGUGUGAACUGAAUGUCAGUUGAAUGCAUUUUUCUGUUAACUGAAUGUAUUUAUUCUAUUGUCUUUUUUGGCAAAAUAUUAAAAGACUUUUCAACGCUUCA